CCUCCCCUUCGGAAAUUUGGCCGCCUCGAAAACAUAGUUUACUUUAUCGCUAUAAGCUCGGAAAUCGUGAAGCUUCUUCUAAAACCAAGAUCCUAAAAGUAUUUGUCAGUAUUUAUAGUUAGUUUGCAUAAUUUAUUUGUGUCUUCAUUGCGGCCAAGAGCUAAAAGUUUGAAGGAAAGCGUAUAAUAAUAAUGUGCUAGUGCAGUCAUGCCAGACACAUC